rnacentral:tRNA from 1 species
AGGGGGAGUGGCGUGGCUCGGUCGGCGCGCGUGCGUGUGGCACGCUCUCUAGUGCUCUCGUGCUGGUCGCGUCUUCGAACGACGCUUUUGUUA